GUCUUUCUCUCCACAUUUCAGACCAAAACACACCCAUAAACAUUAAGAACAUUCUAGAGAGAGAAAGGGAGGAGAAAUUUAGAGAAAAAUCAAUUUUGACCAAAAUCUAAGCCCCGAAUCGCGAAGCUCAUGAAGAGAAAAACGUUGUACGUUGCGUUGCCUUCAAUUUGAGCUAAAUAUUGGUCUUGGGGGAUGAAAUUUUCGUGGUGGAUCUGCUGCUAAGAUUUUGGCGAACUUGAGACUUGAUUUUGGAGACGUGUAUGAAGCGAAAAAGGUGAGCAGACAGACAGGUUUGGUCCCUAGGAGCUCUAUCAGCGGUACAUUGGCAGCGCUCCAGUCGUUCCGGAGCCUCAGUUUCUUGGUACUAUUUUAUGUACAUACUCGGGCACGGCAGCACUCGGCCCUUCUUAUGUAUAUAUGUACUAUGUUUAGAGGCUCGUAGACAGAUAUGUAUAAUUAGAUGUGUUCUAACGUUGGAUGUCCCCGACCAUGUAUAUUAAAUUAGUAAAGUUUAUUAGUACAUGCUUAUAAUA